rnacentral:rRNA from 1 species
AAGUAGGCAAAUCCGCUUUGAUAAUGCUGGGAUGUGAUGGGGAGCGAAAUUUAGUAGCGAAGUAGCUGAUUUCACACUGUCAAGAAAAGUCUCUAUCGAGGUUAAAGGUACCCGUACCGCAAACCGACACCGGUGGGUGAGGAGAGUAUCCUAAGGCCAGCGAGAGAACUGUUGUUAAGGAACUCGGCAAAAUGACCCCGUAACUUAGGGAUAAGGGGUGCCACCAUCAGGUGGCCGCAGAGAAUAGGCCCAAGCGACUGUUUACCAAAAACAUAGGUUUCUGCUAAGUCGCAAGACGAUGUAUAGGAGCUGACGCCUGCCCGGUGCUGGAAGGUUAAGGGGAUCUGUUAGAGCAAUCGAAGCAGUGAACUUAAGCCCCAGUAAACGGCGGCCGUAACUAUAACGGUCCUAAGGUAGCGAAAUUCCUUGUCGGGUAAGUUCCGACCCGCACGAAAGGCGUAACGAUUUGGGCACUGUCUCAACAACAGACUCGGUGAAAUUGUAAUUCCGGUGAAGAUGCCGGAUACCUGCGACAGGACGGAAAGACCCCAUGGAGCUUUACUGUAGCUUGACAUUGGGUCUUGGUACUACAUGUACAGGAUAGGUGGGAGGCUUUGAAACCAGGACGCCAGUUUUGGCGGAGCCAUCCUUGGGAUACCACCCUUGUAGUACUGGGACUCUAACCAUAGGCCAUGAAUCUGGUCUUGGGACACUGUCAGGUGGGCAGUUUGACUGGGGCGGUCGCCUCCCAAAAGG